UACGAAGGGGGCUAGCGUUGCUCGGAAUCACUGGGCGUAAAGCGCACGUAGGCGGGUGCUCAAGUCCGGGGUGAAAUCCUCCAGCUCAACUGGAGAACUGCCUCGGAUACUGGGUGCCUCGAGGGUGGUAGGGGUAUGCGGAACUAUCGGUGGAGCGGUGAAAUGCGUUGAUAUCGAUAGGAACUCCGGUGGCGAAGGCGGCAUACUGGACCACUUCUGACGCUGAGGCGCGAAAGCCAGGGGAGCAAACGGG
rnacentral:rRNA from 1 species